rnacentral:rRNA from 1 species
UACGUAGGUCCCGAGCGUUGUCCGGAUUUAUUGGGCGUAAAGCGAGCGCAGGUGGUUUAUUAAGUCUGGUGUAAAAGGCAGUGGCUCAACCAUUGUAUGCAUUGGAAACUGGUAGACUUGAGUGCAGGAGAGGAGAGUGGAAUUCCAUGUGUAGCGGUGAAAUGCGUAGAUAUAUGGAGGAGCACCGGUGGCGAAAGCGGCUCUCUGGCCUAUAACUGACACUGAGGCUCGAAAGCGUGGGGAGCAAACAGG